rnacentral:misc_RNA from 1 species
GAUGAAGAACGUAGCGAAAUGCGAUAAGUAGUGUGAAUUGCAGAAUUCAGUGAAUCAUCGAAUCUUUGAACGCACAUUGCGCCUUCUAGUAUUCUGGGAGGCAUGCCUGUUUGAGCGUCAUUAAACCUCUCUCAAGUAUGAUUACUUGGAUGUGAAGGAAGAGUACCUUAAACUUAAGGAGUGUUCUCAUUUGAAAUUGAUUAGCAGAUGGUAAUGUUAUUAAAUCCCUGAUGUUGUAAGAAAUAACAGUGGUUUUGUAGACUAUUAUCUAGCUUUAAAUUAUAAUUUUUAUUAUGGUUGACCUCAAAUCAGGUAAGGAUACCCGCUGAACUUAAGCAUAUCAAUAAGCGGAGGA